rnacentral:lncRNA from 1 species
UUGCAGCCCAAGCCAUCAACAAUUCUAGAGUAUUCCAUAGGUUGUUAGCAAAAGGGAUAAAAGGGUAACAGAUAGCUAGCAAAUUGUCUAUAAAUGUAAGGGAGAGUUGGGAUAUUCAUUCAUUCACGUGUAUGUUGAGUCUAGUGGGAGAGUCCCGAGCCUCUUGAAUGCUCUGGGUUGUUUGGAGUCCUUUCUUACGUUCAUUUCAAUAAAAUUACUCAUUUCCAUUUCAGUUUUCAUUUCUUCAUUAAACCAGUCAGCUUUAACAGUUAGGGUUCUAACAAAUGGUAUCAGAGCAACCAUUCUGGCCCUGGGAUAUUACAUCUGAUGAAGAAAAGCAAGUUGAAGAUAGAGUUGAUAAGUUGGAGGAGAAAAUUGAUUGGCUUCAAUUGAAAGUAAAGGAAGAUCUGGAAACACUAAAAUCUGACAUUAAGAAGGUGAUGUCUAUCAUGAUAGAGAAGCUUGACUUGAUGAUGGAAAAAGUGGGACGAGCAAGGGCAGAAAAAGGUCAAGCAGGUACACUUCUUGAAUCGGGUGAAAUUGGGGCAAUUACUAACAGCCAUAAACCGCGAGAAGGACCAGGUAAGGAGGAGGCAUGAAACUGUAGGCUGAAAAUGCUAGUUUCGGAAGGAAUUGUAGCUCCAUUGCAGGCAAUCUCAGAUGUAGUGAAGGAAGGGGAUAGGCAAGAGCAUGAAGGGACGGGGAAAGGAUCGACAGCUACCCAGCCUAAACCCACCUUCAAUUCUGAAAUCCUACCCAAACCUGAUGAGACCGGAACUACUACAGGCAGUCGGAAUUGCAAAGAGUACAGGAAGCUGUGCGAGAUCAUCGACGCUCUUUUGCCAACAAAGAAAUUGGAUGCUAAUCUCGUUUACGGGCUGAAAUCAUGGGAUAGGGUUGAGGUCAAGAGUUUGCCUGUAUGUGUGGGCCAAAAUAUGGAAUUAGUACAAGGGGUUGAAGACAAGAAUGAAAGGAAGCAGGCCCAAAUAAAAUAAGACAUAAUUCUAACCACUUAAAUCCAGCUUUUAGCCCACUUAUGCACUCAUAUCAAGCCCCUUUUUCAUACUCAAUUCACCCACGUAAUCCACCCAACACACCAAACCAACCCAAAAUCAGCAGCAACAAUAGUCCGACGACCGACAAACGCAAAGGGUGCUCGUCCAUUUAAGAGACCCAUCGACGCCGAGCUUCAUCUGAAGAGGGGAGCUAGCUGGUGUUAUUGCUGUGAUGUAACAUACAACCCGGGUCAUAGGUGUCGAAAUAAAGAGUUCAGAAUUUUGUUGGUACAAGAGGAAGAAGGUGAUGUUCCAUGGAAUGUUCAAGAAGGAGAUGAAGAGGACGAAGUAGGUGAAUUAGGGAAGAUAUCACUCAAUUUUGUGGGAGGACUAACCACAUCAAAAACCAUGAAAAUUAGGGGUUCGAUUUUGGGGCAAUUAGUAAUAGUCUUGAUUGAUUAUGAAGCUAUACUAUACCUAACUUCAUUUCAGCAAAGUUGGGUGGUCAAUUGAAGCUGCAAACCAUAGAAAUUACUAGCUACGAGCUUUACGCGUCUCGAGCAGAUUCACUAGCUGCAGCCAUUUGCUCUACUAUUGCAGCAGAGAAGAAUCCUUUCCAGCAGCUAUGCAUGCCAGCAUCAGAUCAGCAGCCACAUCCAAAUCUAUUAAAACUUCACCAGCAAACCAGGUUCCUAGCUUCUUCUUUGACGGAAGUGUAUGAACAAGGACUAUUGCUGGAGGAGGAGAAGACCACGGAGAAGAAAGGGGAAGAGAAUAGGCUGGAAUUGAUGGUUGAAUUUUAGAUAAAAAAAAAUCUAUGGGCAUGGUUUUGGAAUUGGCCCAACUGGGGAAAGGCAACAGUGUAGUAGUGAAACAAGCCCAACUAAAUUUCAGCCCAAAUGAAAGAAAACUUAAUAGGCUCAACCUACCAGCAAGUUACAGCCUACAAUUUUCCUAUUAUCAGACAUCGUUGAAUAGUCCCUUGCUUCUCACGGUAAAUUCCAAAUAUACUGUACCUCGUCAAGCAAUGAUGGCGAGGAAAAUUGCACCUGAAUCCCAGGAAACUACUGAGAGUGCUUAUAUUGUUGUUUUGGCAUUGGGGAUUGCAAAUCAGUGGACGAACAUACUUAGGGAUGUUGGAGAAGAUGCAAGAAGAUGAGGGAUCUACCUGCUGCAUGAUGAAAUCUCCGUGGAUGACUACAAUAAUUUCACAAGGGAGGCAUGUGUAAACAAACUGAAGAAAAUGCUUGCUUAGCACCUCAGCCAAUUGCAUAAGCAAAGUCUCUAUUGCGACAUUUCGUGGGUAGGGGUAACUGGAUAUGGAAUUGCCCUGGACACUAUAUUGGUGAUAGUUUCUCAACUAAGUAGGUCUGUCCACUUCGAAAGGUUGAAACACCCAUUCUCCGUAGUGACCAUGACUGGAGUCCUUGCAAGGAAAAUAGGGAGGUUGCAUGAUGAAUUGACCAAGAUAGUAACAAUUUCCACCUCGAGGACAAGGUGGAUUUUGAGGCGCCGGGUAAUGAUAGACAUCCAAUCAAAUUGCAGCCCUAGCCAUCAACAAUUCUAGAGUAUUCCAUAGGUUGUGAGCAAAAGGGGUAAAAGGGUAAUAGAUAGCUAGCAAAUUGUCUAUAAAUGUAAGGGAGAGUUGGGAUAUUCAUUCAUUCACGUGUAUGUUGAGUCUAGUGGGAGAGUCUCGAGCCUCUCGAAUGCUCUGGGUUGUUUGGAGUCCUUUCUUACGUUCAUGUCAAUAAAAUUACUCAUUACCAUUUCAGUUUUCAUCUCUCCAUUAAACCAGUCAGCUUUAACAGUUGGGGUUCCAACAGAGAAAAAACUCGACCAUGUCAAGUUGAUAGAUCACUAUAGGCUACAGUCAUUCUGAUACUCCAAAUGCUUCAAGUCAUGCCACGGAGGACGAUCUUUCUGACGAACC